rnacentral:sRNA from 1 species
UGGAGGUGUGCCCCACUUUGCGCCCACCU